CAGGAUGAACGCUGGCGGCGUGCUUAACACAUGCAAGUCGAACGGUGAACACGGAGCUUGCUCUGUGGGAUCAGUGGCGAACGGGUGAGUAACACGUGAGCAACCUGCCCCUGACUCUGGGAUAAGCGCUGGAAACGGCGUCUAAUACUGGAUACGAACAAGAAUCGCAUGGUUACUUGUUGGAAAGAUUUUUCGGUUGGGGAUGGGCUCGCGGCCUAUCAGCUUGUUGGUGAGGUAAUGGCUCACCAAGGCGUCGACGGGUAGCCGGCCUGAGAGGGUGACCGGCCACACUGGGACUGAGACACGGCCCAGACUCCUACGGGAGGCAGCAGUGGGGAAUAUUGCACAAUGGGCGAAAGCCUGAUGCAGCAACGCCGCGUGAGGGAUGACGGCCUUCGGGUUGUAAACCUCUUUUAGCAGGGAAGAAGCGAAAGUGACGGUACCUGCAGAAAAAGCGCCGGCUAANUACGUGCCAGCAGCCGCGGUAAUACGUAGGGCGCAAGCGUUAUCCGGAAUUAUUGGGCGUAAAGAGCUCGUAGGCGGUUUGUCGCGUCUGCUGUGAAAUCCCGAGGCUCAACCUCGGGCCUGCAGUGGGUACGGGCAGACUAGAGUGCGGUAGGGGAGAUUGGAAUUCCUGGUGUAGCGGUGGAAUGCGCUGAUAUCAGGAGGAA
rnacentral:rRNA from 1 species